rnacentral:rRNA from 1 species
GGCCUAACACAUGCAAGUCGAACGAAGGCUUCGGCCUAUAGAGGCGCACGGGUGCGUAACGCGUGGGAAUCUGCCCCUGGGUUCGGAAUAACAGUUAGAAAUGGCUGCUAAUACCGGAUGAUGACGUAAGUCCAAAGAUUUAUCGCCCAGGGAUGAGCCCGCGUAGGAUUAGCUAGUUGGUGGGGUAAAGGCCUACCAAGGCGACGAUCCUUAGCUGGUCUGAGAGGAUGAUCAGCCACACUGGGACUGAGACACGGCCCAGACUCCUACGGGAGGCAGCAGUGGGGAAUAUUGGACAAUGGGCGAAAGCCUGAUCCAGCAAUGCCGCGUGAGUGAUGAAGGCCUUAGGGUUGUAAAGCUCUUUUACCCGGGAUGAUAAUGACAGUACCGGGAGAAUAAGCCCCGGCUAACUCCGUGCCAGCAGCCGCGGUAAU